AACAUUUCAUCGAUGCAGCUUCCUGAGUUACAGACUUGGUACCAGAUGCACCUCCAAAGAGCACAGGACCGUGUGCGAAACAUCUUGGAGCAAGCCCGGAAACCAUUUGUAUCCAGUUCUAUUCCGAUGAGCAACCGACCCAAAAGGUUCCUCACCGCUAUAAUUGUUGCAUUAGUUUGUGCCACUGUCGGUGCAGUUGUCGCAACUGGAAUGUCUGCAGCCAACUCUAUUACUGUCCAAAAGCUGGAUAUGGAAAUCUAUGCGCUAAAGCAACACAUUAACGAUAUUCAUCAGGUGAUACAACAGCAAAGAACACUUCUCCAAGACGUGUUAACUAUUGUGGAAGAC